UACAGAGGUCUCAAGCGUUGUUCGGAUUCAUUGGGCGUAAAGGGUGCGUAGGCGGCGCGGUAAGUCGGGUGUGAAAUCUCGGAGCUUAACUCCGAAACUGCAUUCGAUACUGCCGUGCUUGAGGACUGGAGAGGAGACUGGAAUUUACGGUGUAGCAGUGAAAUGCGUAGAGAUCGUAAGGAAGACCAGUGGCGAAGGCGAGUCUCUGGACAGUUACUGACGCUGAGGCGCGACAGCGUGGGGAGCAAACAGG
rnacentral:rRNA from 1 species